rnacentral:rRNA from 1 species
UACGAAGGGGGCUAGCGUUGCUCGGAAUCACUGGGCGUAAAGCGCACGUAGGCGGCUUUUUAAGUCAGGGGUGAAAUCCUGGAGCUCAACUCCAGAACUGCCUUUGAUACUGGGAAGCUUGAGUCCGGAAGAGGUGAGUGGAACUCCGAGUGUAGAGGUGAAAUUCGUAGAUAUUCGCAAGAACACCAGUGGCGAAGGCGGCUCACUGGCCCGAUACUGACGCUGAGGCACGAAAGCGUGGGGAGCAAAGCAGG